rnacentral:rRNA from 1 species
UCCGUAGGUGGAUCAAUAAGUCAGAGGUGAAAUCCUGCAGCUCAACUGUAGAAUUGCCUUUGAUACUGGUUAUCUUGAGUCAUUAUGAAGUGGUUAGAAUGUGUAGUGUAGCGGUGAAAUGCAUAGAUAUUACACAGAAUACCGAUUGCGAAGGCAGAUCACUAAUAAUGUACUGACACUGAUGGACGAAAGCGUGGGGAGCGAACAGGAUUAGAUACCCUGGUAGUC